GAAGUACUCACUUCACAGUUACCAAGCUGCAUGAACUGAAUGCAUGAAUUGCAUUGGAAAACAAUAUGUUAAAAGGGAAUUGCUUUAGAAAGGAAGAAACAUGGAAAUUUCAUCUCAGAUAAUAUUGCUCUGCGGAGAUUCCUAUAGCCAUUUUUUAGUGCAGAGAAGAAAAGAUUCAUCAUGGAAUGACCUAUGGCAUUUUAUAUUUACAGUAUAGUCUUCAACACGUGCAGAUGCUGGAUCAAGGGG